AGAGUUUGAUCAUGGCUCAGAUUGAACGCUGGCGGCAGGCCUAACACAUGCAAGUCGAGCGCGAAAGGCCUUCGGGCUGAGUAGAGCGGCGGACGGGUGAGUAACGCGUAGGAAUCUACCUGGUAGUGGGGGACAACUUGGGGAAACUCAAGCUAAUACCGCAUACGCCCCAUGGGGGAAAGCGGGGGACCUUCGGGCCUCGCGCUAUCAGAUGAGCCUGCGUAGGAUUAGCUAGUUGGUGGGGUAAAGGCCCACCAAGGCGACGAUCCUUAGCUGGUCUGAGAGGAUGAUCAGCCACACUGGGACUGAGACACGGCCCAGACUCCUACGGGAGGCAGCAGUGGGGAAUAUUGCGCAAUGGGGGCAACCCUGACGCAGCCAUGCCGCGUGUGUGAAGAAGGCCUUCGGGUUGUAAAGCACUUUCAACGGGGAAGAAAAGCUCACCGUUAAUAGCGGUGAGCCGUGACAUUACCUGUAGAAGAAGCACCGGCUAACUCCGUGCCAGCAGCCGCGGUAAUACGGAGGGUGCGAGCGUUAAUCGGAAUUACUGGGCGUAAAGCGCGCGUAGGCGGUUUGUUAAGUCAGCUGUGAAAGCCCCGGGCUCAACCUGGGAACUGCAGUUGAUACUGGCCGACUAGAGUACGAGAGAGGGAGGUAGAAUUCCAUGUGUAGCGGUGAAAUGCGUAGAUAUAUGGAGGAAUACCGGUGGCGAAGGC
rnacentral:rRNA from 1 species